GUGGGGAAUCUUGCGCAAUGGGCGAAAGCCUGACGCAGCCAUGCCGCGUGAAUGAUGAAGGUCUUAGGAUUGUAAAAUUCUUUCACCGGGGACGAUAAUGACGGUACCCGGAGAAGAAGCUCCGGCUAACUUCGUGCCAGCAGCCGCGGUAAUACGAAGGGGGCUAGCGUUGCUCGGAAUUACUGGGCGUAAAGGGCGCGUAGGCGGACAGCUUAGUCAGAGGUGAAAGCCCAGGGCUCAACCUUGGAAUUGCCUUUGAUACUGGCUGUCUUGAGUUUGGGAGAGGUGAGUGGAACUCCGAGUGUAGAGGUGAAAUUCGUAGAUAUUCGGAGGAACACCAGUGGCGAAGGCUGCUCACUGGCUCGAUACUGACGCUGAGGUGCGAAAGCGUGGGGAGCAAACAGGAUUAGAUACCCUAGUAGUCC
rnacentral:rRNA from 1 species